rnacentral:tRNA from 1 species
CUGUAGCUCAGCUGGAUAGAGCAUCGACCUUCUAAGCCGUUGGCCACAGGUUCGAAUCCUGUCAG